GGUCAAGUUAUUAAGGGUGCAGGGCGGAUGCCUUGGCACUAGGAGCCGAUGAAGGACGUGAUAAGCUGCGAUAAGCUUCGGGGAGUUGCACGUAAACUUUGAUCCGAAGAUUUCCGAAUGAGGAAACUCACUUAGAGUAAUGUCUAAGUAUCAUUAAGUGAAUACAUAGCUUAAUGAGGGGAACUCAGGGAACUGAAACAUCUAAGUACCUGAAGGAAGAGAAAGAAAUUCGAUUCCGUAAGUAGCGGCGAGCGAACGCGGAUUAGCCCAAACCAAUAAAGUUUUCUUUAUUGGGGUUGCGGACAUAUCAUAACGAAGAGGUAUCGUAAUUGAAGAGGUUUGGAAAGACCCACCACAGAAGGUAAUAGUCCUGUAUGUUAAACGAGAAGACUUUAGAUAUGAUCCAGAGUACCACGGGACACGUGAAACCCUGUGGGAAGCAGGAGGGACCACCCUCCAAGGCUAAAUACUACCUAGUGACCGAUAGCGUAUAGUACCGUGAGGGAAAGGUGAAAAGAACCCCGGGAGGGGAGUGAAAUAGAACCUGAAACCCUGCACUUACAAGCUGUGGAAGCACAUUUCUUGUGUGACCGCGUACUUUUUGUAGAACGGGCCAACGAGUUACGUUAAGUAGCAAGGUUAAGCACUUAAGGUGUGGAGCCGUAGCGAAAGCGAGUUUUAACUGAGCGUUCAGUUACUUGACGUAGACCCGAAACCGGGCGACCUACCCAUGAGCAGGAUGAAGCGAAAGUAAAAUUUCGUGGAGGUCCGAACCCACGAGCGUUGAAAAGCUCGGGGAUGACUUGUGGGUAGCGGUGAAAUUCCAAUCGAGCCCGGAGAUAGCUGGUUCUCCCCGAAAUAGCUUUAGGGCUAGCCUCAAGGUGAGAGAUACGGAGGUAGAGCACUGAAUGUCCUAGGGGGUAUUGCACCUACCGAAGACUAUCAAACUCCGAAUGCCGUCAUCUUAUACUUGGGAGUCAGACUGUGGGUGAUAAGAUUCAUAGUCGAAAGGGCAACAGCCCAGAUCGUCAGCUAAGGUCCCUAAAUGUAAGUUAAGUGGUAAAGGAUGUGGGAUUGCACAGACAACCAGGAUGUUGGCUUAGAAGCAGCCACUCAUUCAAAGAGUGCGUAAUAGCUCACUGGUCGAGUGAUCCUGCGCCGAAGAUUUCCGGGGCUAAAACUUACUACCGAAGCUACGGCAUCAGUAAUGAUGGGUAGGGGAGCUUCCCAUACGGGUUGAAGCAUGACCGUAAGGACAUGUGGACAGUAUGGGAGUGAGAAUGUUGGCAUGAGUAGCGAGAUGUGGGUGAGAAUCCCACAGGCCGUAAACCCAAGGUUUCCAGGGGAAGGUUCGUCCGCCCUGGGUUAGUCGGGACCUAAGCUGAGGCCGAAAGGCGUAGGUGAUGGACAACAGGUUGAUAUUCCUGUACUACCGAUAACCGUUUGAGAGAAGGGAUGACACAGUAGGAUAAGCUAAGCACACUGUUGGUUAUGUGUGCCCAAGCAUUGAGGCAGUCAAAGUAGGCAAAUCCGCUUUGAUAAUGCUGGGAUGUGAUGGGGAGCGAAAUUUAGUAGCGAAGUAGCUGAUUUCACACUGUCAAGAAAAGUCUCUAUCGAGGUUAAAGGUACCCGUACCGCAAACCGACACAGGUGGGUGAGGAGAGUAUCCUAAGGCCAGCGAGAGAACUGUUGUUAAGGAACUCGGCAAAAUGACCCCGUAACUUAGGGAUAAGGGGUGCCACCAUCAGGUGGCCGCAGAGAAUAGGCCCAAGCGACUGUUUACCAAAAACAUAGGUUUCUGCUAAGUCGCAAGACGAUGUAUAGGAGCUGACGCCUGCCCGGUGCUGGAAGGUUAAGGGGAUCUGUUAGAGCAAUCGAAGCAGUGAACUUAAGCCCCAGUAAACGGCGGCCGUAACUAUAACGGUCCUAAGGUAGCGAAAUUCCUUGUCGGGUAAGUUCCGACCCGCACGAAAGGCGUAACGAUUUGGGCACUGUCUCAACAACAGACUCGGUGAAAUUGUAAUUCCGGUGAAGAUGCCGGAUACCUGCGACAGGACGGAAAGACCCCAUGGAGCUUUACUGUAGCUUGACAUUGGGUCUUGGUACUACAUGUACAGGAUAGGUGGGAGGCUUUGAAACCAGGACGCCAGUUUUGGCGGAGCCAUCCUUGGGAUACCACCCUUGUAGUACUGGGACUCUAACCAUAGGCCAUGAAUCUGGUCUUGGGACACUGUCAGGUGGGCAGUUUGACUGGGGCGGUCGCCUCCCAAAAGGUAACGGAGGCGCUCAAAGGUUCUCUCAGUACGGUCGGAAAUCGUACGUAGAGUGUAAAGGCAAAAGAGAGCUUGAUUGCAAGACAUACAGGUCGAGCAAGGAUGAAAAUCGGACUUAGUGAUCCGGUGGUUCUGCGUGGAAGGGCCAUCGCUCAACGGAUAAAAGCUACCCUGGGGAUAACAGGCUUAUCUCCCCCAAGAGUCCACAUCGACGGGGAGGUUUGGCACCUCGAUGUCGGCUCAUCACAUCCUGGGGCUGUAGUAGGUCCCAAGGGUUGGGCUGUUCGCCCAUUAAAGUGGUACGCGAGCUGGGUUCAGAACGUCGUGAGACAGUUCGGUCCCUAUCCGUCGCAGGCGUAGGAAAUUUGAGAAGACCUGUCCUUAGUACGAGAGGACCGGGAUGGACGUACCUCUGGUGUACCAGUUGUCCUGCCAAGGGCAUGGCUGGGUAGCUAUGUACGGAAUGGAUAAGCGCUGAAAGCAUCUAAGCGCGAAGCCAACUUCAAGAUAAGAUUUCCCACCGUAAGGGUAAGACCCCAGAAAGACUAUCUGGUUGAUAGGUCGAAGGUGUAAGUGCAGCAAUGUAUUUAGCUUAUCGAUACUAAUAGGUCGAGGACUUGACCAA
rnacentral:rRNA from 1 species